CUAUUUUCAACUGGAUCAUAGGUUAUUUUUUAACCUAUGGGAAAGAUAUUAUCAAAUAGGAAAAGUCUCAUAUUUCUUAACGGUUUCAUAUUAAUGUUAUACUGGCUGGUCUACAGCAAACUAUUUUUAAGCAGAGCUUUUGAGUACCUUGGCUAACAGCAGCCCUGUAUCACUGGAGCAUGCUGACUUUCGUCAUCCAAUGUACCACUAGUCUCCAUUUAAAGAUUUGUAGGUUCUUUUUAUUUUGCCAA
rnacentral:lncRNA from 1 species